GCCGCGCCGGAAGCCCCCUGCGCGCAGGAUCCGAGGACAAAGCGUGGCCCUUGGGUUCCACCCAGAGUUUCCCAGGGUUCCCAUCUGGGGGGCCGGCCUGGUUACGGCUGGAGAGCAAGUUUCUCCUCCCCUUGGACCACGGUUCUUCAGACUUUCAGGCACGUUCGAAGAAGAGUAUAAGCUGAAAUCUGGCUAUGUGACCCUGCUUCAAUCAUGCAAAUGAGAAGAAUGUCCUAGCAAAUGGCAGGGGCCCAAGAUUGAAGGACCUUGGAUCCCUGAAUGACUACACACCUACUGAUCUGAAAACCUACUCUGGAGUGAGAUGAGAAAUGAGCUUAUUGUUCUUUAAGCCACUGAAUAUUGGAGGUUUAUUUUUUUCUAUCAACAUAGCCAUCCUUAUUAACAGGGAGUGGGAGUUAGAGAAUGACACUAGAAACAGGGCUAUUUGAAUAACCCAGUUGAGAGAUGAUGAAUACCUGUGAUAGGAUUGAGGAGGGUAGGUGGAGAAAAGAUACAGAAAUAUUUAUAAAAUAUACUCAACAUGA